UCGUGACAAAUGGACGAUUUAAACUUGGAGUGAAUCCAUUUUCGAUCUUGGAAUUAUACGUGAGGAGGGAAUUAAUUGGACGGUGAUGAUCGCGUUUCUCGCGGUAUUUAUCGCGGUGGUAAAUGCACGUUGACGUUCGCGUUAUCAUCGAUCGCGUAAAUUAAACGGAAAACGAAACUGGCUUUUGUCCGUAGCGGGAAGAAAUAUGAAAAUCGUGGGACGCGUGCAACGAUACGUAAAACCUCGACCCCUUCACACGCUUACAGACAGUCGGGAUAUAAAUCACGGGGAUUUACGAGCCCCGGUUAAAAAGGGUAACGCAAUAUUUAUAGUCAUCUCGCACAGUUACAUA